rnacentral:rRNA from 1 species
UAGGGAAUCUUCCGCAAUGGACGCAAGUCUGACGGAGCAACGCCGCGUGAGUGAAGAAGGAUUUCGGUUCGUAAAACUCUGUUGUUAGAGAAGAACAGCGCAUAGAGUAACUGUUAUGCGUGUGACGGUAUCUAACCAGAAAGCCACGGCUAACUACGUGCCAGCAGCCGCGGUAAUACGUAGGUGGCAAGCGUUGUCCGGAUUUAUUGGGCGUAAAGCGAGCGCAGGCGGUCAAUUAAGUCUGAUGUGAAAGCCCCCGGCUCAACCGGGGAGGGUCAUUGGAAACUGGUUGACUUGAGUGCAGAAGAGGGGAGUGGAAUUCCAUGUGUAGCGGUGAAAUGCGUAGAUAUAUGGAGGAACACCAGUAGCGAAGGCGACUCUCUGGUCUGUAACUGACGCUGAGGCUCGAAAGCGUGGGUAGCAAACAGG